rnacentral:rRNA from 1 species
AUUCCAGCUCCAAUAGCGCAUAUUAAAGUUGUUGCAGUUAAAAAGCUCGUAGUUGGAUUUCUGGCGGGAGUCCGGGUCGGCCUUAACGGGUUGCACUGUUGUGACGUCUCGCCGUUUCGAGGGGAAUGGGCUCGCUAUUAGGUUAGUGUGUUCGGGAACCUCGUCGUUUACUGUGAAAAAAUUAGAGUGUUCAAAGCAGGCCUUUGCUGUGAAUACAUUAGCAUGGAAUAAUAAGAUAGGACUGUAGUGCUAUUUUGUUGGUUUGCGUACUAUGGUAAUGAUUAAUAGGGAUAGUUGGGGGUAUUCAUAUUCAAUUGUCAGAGGUGAAAUUCUUGGAUUUAUGGAAGAUGAACUACUGCGAAAGCAUUUACCAAGGAUGUUUUCAUCA